UACGCAGGUCCCAAGCGUUAUCCGGAUUUAUUGGGUUUAAAGGGUGCGUAGGCGGCUUAUUAAGUCAGUGGUGAAAGCCCCAAGCUUAACUUGGGAACUGCCAUUGAUACUGAUGAGCUUGAGUAGAUUUGAGGCGGGCGGAAUGUGUCGUGUAGCGGUGAAAUGCUUAGAUAUGACACAGAACACCAAUUGCGUAGGCAGCUCGCUAAACUCUUACUGACGCUGAGGCACGAAAGCAUGGGGAUCAAACAGG
rnacentral:rRNA from 1 species